CUCCUUUAUCUCCUCUCCAAACCCUAGCCCUCCUCUCUUCCUCCCUCAGCGCCGCCAUCUCCUUCCUUUCUCCCGCCGCCAGCAACUUCCCCUCUUCCUUCCUCCUUCUCUGGAAGUUCUGAGCAACACCACCACCUCCCCACCAUGGCGCCGCCGCUACCGACGCUCCCUCACCGAGCUGAGACCACCAGAAGAACGGCCUCAUCUUUCUCGUCUCCCCCCUGCAAGGAAUCGAACCAGAGUUCUCUAAAUCGCCGGCGAAUUCGCCGAUUCCGUCUCCAUGUCCGGCGGGGAAAUCUUCAAUUCCGGCGAUUCCGGUGAACCCUUGGUGUCGGCUCCGCCACUUCCUGUUUCCCCAAGUCACGGCGCACCUUCGGCGCCCUCUGCCUCAUCUCGGUUCGCCCGGAAUCUCCAGGUCCAUCCAUGCCUGCAACCUCCGCCAUGGCUUCUUAUGGCCUGAGCUUCGCCUAUCAUGGUUCAACCUAUCGAGGGCUGUUCUUUUGACACGAGUUGUUCUGCAGCUCAGUGAUCUCGCGGCCAGAGAUCCUUCUUUACCUUCGGAGCCCUUCCGACUUCAACAUCAUCAGUAGUCCGGCUGAUCUGGCGCCUGUUGGGCCUCAGCCCGUGUCUCUCCAGGCGCAGCACAUCACCCCGCGCGGCCCGAAUCUAUCCGCCGCCAACACGUACAAGAUCCAGCUCAGGACACGGCAGCAUUUGCUUCUUCCCGGAUAGGAUCGCGAAGUGGUGUGGUGAGAUACGACAAGUUCUCCGGAUGUUCCUCGGCAAGCUUUAACAGGCAAGCAUUUCCCUUAUACUCCUGCCCCUGCAGAAGUUGCUCACCUAUUUUAUUUUGCCUUCUCCCUCAUGCUAUCCUUAAGUUGCGUUCUUGUCACGUGUCCUUUCCACUUGUUACCUCAAGCAGCCCAUAUUGCCUCCACCAACCUCCUAUGGCUAUUGUUUGGUUAUCGGGUCUGCCUUGCGAGUCGUAGUGCAUGCUAGUGCUGUUUUACCUCGUUACCGUUACUGCUAUCUUAUCGGGUUAUAUGUUGGGAAGAAUCAUGGUUACUCUAGUUGUUGAUAUUUGUUUAGCGGAGGCAUCGGUGGGUCAGCUGCUCGUUUUAUGACGGCUCACUUUUGUUUCCUAAAUAUCUUAGGACCCCGAGUUCUUGUUAUCUGUUCCGAGACUGAGCGCUCUAACCACACGUGGGUAUGCUUACCGGGUCUCCCCUCGACCACUGCCGGAAUCUACAUCUUUGUCCAGUGGCCACAAAUAGUUUGAACGUUUUGUUUCUCUCGGGCGUGCAAGCUUGUUUCUUUGUGGUCAGAUGAUAUGAUGUUACUUUUGGGGCCUUGUACCCCGUUGUCUCUUGCACGUUCGUAGGUUGCGGUGCCACUGCGAAGUGGUCAUCCCGUUGGGCACUGUCCACCUAGCACGCAGUCGCAAUAGCUGAGUCCGCUUCGGAGCACGGCCGGACUCUGAUACGGGUUAACUUAGUUAGGUGGCUUCCUGGACAUUGUUGUAGUGAAGGAGAGUGCGUGUCGUGAUAUCCACCUGUCGUAAGUGGGUUGAACGUGCGUGUGGGCACAUUUGGGCACCCCUGCAGGGUUACAAUCUUAUCGAUAAGCCGCGUCCGCGGUUAUGGACGACUUGGAGCUGUAUGACUCGACCAUAAACAACUUACACCCGUUGUUUCAAUACUAUUAACUUGCAUAGUAAGAUAGAACAACUUAAAUAAUAACUGGUUAAAACUUGACAACCGUGUGAGUGCCUUUGUAAGUACCUCUUUGCGAAGGGGGAACGCAUCGGCUGUGUUAUGUUUGCAGAGUAUAGAACUGUUAGUUAUGCGCUCUCUCACCUUCUUUGAUUAGACGAAUGUUGUAGAGUGUCUCUAUAGGUUUUUAGUGCUUGCGCGCUGCCGCUUAACCCCACCAUAUUGCCUAUGACGUUCCUCUUGCGUCCUCUAAGUCCCCUGCGUGCCUCAAGUACAAAGGACGACUGGUUGACGAAUGCUUAUACGUCUUGAAGUCUUGUUAAGUACGAACCCGUACUUAUUGCUGCUUCUACGGGAUAUAACCGGGCAGGUAUGAAGAUAUGUUCGAUGGAGACGACGCUAGCAAGGUUACCCUUCCGGCUUGGCCUGGGUAGGGUUAUGGACGCCGCUGGUUAUCUUCAGGACUCUUAGUCCAAUUUGUAUCUUGUCCGUACUCGGACGCAUUUGAUCUUCUGUAUGAUUCGGAUCUUGAGUUGUAUAUUUGUAUCUUGACUCGUUGGAGUCGUUGUUGUAAUAUAUGUUUCUUGUGGGCUCUAUUGUAAUCCUGUUGUAAUGUUA